UACGGGGGGAGCAAGCGUUGUUCGGAUUUACUGGGCGUAAAGGGCGCGUAGGCGGCCACCGCAAGUCGGUUGUGAAAUCUCUGGGCUUAACCCAGAAAGGUCAACCGAUACUGCGGGGCUAGAGUGCAGAAGGGGCAACUGGAAUUCUCGGUGUAGCGGUGAAAUGCGUAGAUAUCGAGAGGAACACCUGCGGCGAAGGCAGGUCUCUGGGCCGAUACUGACGCUGAGGAGCGAAAGCGUGGGGAGCGAACAGG
rnacentral:rRNA from 1 species